rnacentral:rRNA from 1 species
GACGAACGCUGGCGGCGUGCCUAAUACAUGCAAGUCGAGCGGACGAAUCGAAAGCUUGCUUUUGAUUCGUUAGCGGCGGACGGGUGAGUAACACGUGGGCAACCUGCCCUGUAGACGGGGAUAACACCGAGAAAUCGGUGCUAAUACCGGAUAACACGAAAUGUCGCAUGACGUUUCGUUGAAAGACGGCGCAAGCUGUCGCUACAGGAUGGGCCCGCGGCGCAUUGGCUAGUUGGUGAGGUAACGGCUCACCAAGGCGACGAUGCGUAGCCGACCUGAGAGGGUGAUCGGCCACACUGGGACUGAGACACGGCCCAGACUCCUACGGGAGGCAGCAGUAGGGAAUCUUCCGCAAUGGACGAAAGUCUGACGGAGCAACGCCGCGUGAGCGAAGAAGGCCUUCGGGUCGUAAAGCUCUGUUGUUAGGGAAGAACAAGUAACGCAGUAACUGGCGUUACCGUGACGGUACCUAACGAGAAAGCCACGGCUAACUACGUG